rnacentral:rRNA from 1 species
GCAGCAGUGGGGAAUAUUGCACAAUGGGGGAAACCCUGAUGCAGCCAUGCCGCGUGUGUGAAGAAGGCCUUCGGGUUGUAAAGCACUUUCAGCGGGGAGGAAGGCGGUGGCGUUAAUAGCGCUAUCGAUUGACGUUACCCGCAGAAGAAGCACCGGCUAACUCCGUGCCAGCAGCCGCGGUAAUACGGAGGGUGCGAGCGUUAAUCGGAAUUACUGGGCGUAAAGCGUACGCAGGCGGUCUGUUAAGUCAGAUGUGAAAUCCCCGGGCUCAACCUGGGAACUGCAUUUGAAACUGGCAGGCUAGAGUCUCGUAGAGGGGGGUAGAAUUCCAGGUGUAGCGGUGAAAUGCGUAGAGAUCUGGAGGAAUACCGGUGGCGAAGGCGGCCCCCUGGACGAAGACUGACGCUCAGGUACGAAAGCGUGGGGAGCAAACCGGAUUAGAUACCCCGGUAGUCCAA